UCAUCUCAGAAGGGACUACCCGCUGAACUUAAGCAUAUCAGUAAGCGGAGGAAAAGAAAGCAAAAGCGAUUCCCCGAGUAGUGGCGAACGAAAGGGGAGAAGCCCAUCGCAUAACCUCCCGGGCUACCCAGCCUGCGGCGGAAUGUUGCGUAAAGGGAAAGGUCGUUUCUAAGCCCUGCACAUCGUGUUCCUAAGUCUGGCUUGAUUGUGGCGCUGACCUUUAACGGGGUCUACGGUACCACAGAGGGUGACAGUCCCGUAUGGCCACGAGGAACAUGUGCAUGGGUUCGGCCUCAUUCCCUGAGAGUCGCGUUGCUUGAGCAUGCAGCGCUAAGCAGGACGUAAACUCGUCCUAAGGCUAAAUACAUCCACAAAACCGAUAGUGAACAAGUACCGUGAGGGAAAGUUGAAAAGCACUCUGAAGAGAGAGUCAAAAGACCGUGAAACCGCUCAGAGUAUAAGCCAAUGGUUUUCGGAAAGCUGGGUCCGCGUCGUGGGCACGAUCCUCUGAUGAGGGACGUUGUUUGCUUCGUAUCGUGUGUGUGACAGAUGAGAUACAGUGCUGGUGUGGUACGCUUCGUGCAAUCUCGUCAUUGAGUUGAUAGGGGCCGAUAAGGAUACUCACGGGUCUCUGACAGUGGUAACUGGGGUGGCUUCUUGAGGGGCCGCCCCUAGGCUGGGCUUGAGUGAGCGGGCACUGUGCGCACACUAUAACGAGUGGACUUUACACAGCUCACCACAACUCAUUGAGAGGUCCCCCAUGCGAGAUGUGACUCUGUGUGGACCGUGCGCGUCCUGUGGGCCUGGCUUCGGCCAGCACGCUGUCCUGUCCAGGGACGGUGCUCAUGGGCGGCCGGUCCCGAACAUCUAUUCCAGACGUGUGGCGGUUUGAUCCUUUCGAUGGUUGCUUUCUGACUAUCCCGAAUCCUGAAGUCUGCGCGGAAGCUCCGUGCGGACGAGCUAAGGUUAACAGUCCGGGACCCUAUGAACUCAGGCAUUCUGCUCAUCAAGUGGUGGGC
rnacentral:rRNA from 1 species